rnacentral:lncRNA from 1 species
AGGCUUAGUCACAUGACUCUUCUUGCCCAAUGGAUGUAAACAGAAGUAAUAAAAGAACUUUCUCAGAGGGGGGGAAAAAGAUUUAAAGCAACUUUGUAUUUUUGUCAGAUAAUGUCCAUCUUUUACACAGUGGGUUAGCUUGAUUCAAAUUUCAGAAUAUAAUCCCAGCCUUAGAGAGGAGCAGAUAGGAAGAUGGCCAAUUUGAAGACAGUCUGAAUUCAUCUGAGAUUCUGUUCUCAAGGAAAAGUUUAAGCAUAUAGCUCGGUAGAGGAGCACUCAUCAGGCAUGAUUAAAUGUACAUGCGUGCGUGCAUGCGUGUGUGCAUGUGUGUGUUUACAGACAUACAAACACACAAACAUGCAUGCACGCACAUGUGUGCUUGCACACAAGUACAUACAAACAGAAUUUUAGAAUGAUAAGGAAGAACCUCUUUUCUUUAUAAUUUUCUCAGAAACGAUCAAAAACUGUAUGACUUUGAGUCACAGUACAUAGAUUGAUAUUAUCAAACCAAAAAUAAAAAAAAAUCUUAGCGGAAUUAUUAAAUAGCAAAUACUUGUAAAUGCUAUUUUUGAUAUUGUAAUGACACCACUUUCCUCCCUUCUCCUCCUCCCUCUCAUAUAACCCUUCUUGCUGUCUUUUAAUUUCAUGGAUUCUAUUUCCAUUAAUUGUUGUUACAUGCACACAAUUCCUAAAUGUAAUCUGCUCAUCCUGUAUGGUGCCUGUGUCUAUGUGUUCAGGGCUGACCACUUCGUAUUGGAUAAGCAAUUGAAAGGCUCUUCCCCAGAGAAGAUGAUUUCUCCCACUCAAAGUGCUUCUAACAUUUGCUUCUUGUUUGUUUUGCAAGCUUCCUUUACAGAAUUUUUGUUUUUAUUUUUUUCUGGUCACACUAGUGCCUGCAGAGAUUCAGGCCAUCUUCAGGUCAUCAUGAUUCCGUAGCGACUUGCAGAGUCCUUCACUAUGAUGGUAAAGCCUCAAGUUGUCAUACUGGCUUGGGCAGAGAACCUAAUGAGUAAUGCCCACUGACGCAGUUUCAAAUGCAGUUAAUGGGUCUAACAAGCAGAGCAAGGCGAGCCUGACUGGAAUGGAUGUGCUCCCUCUGUAUCUUCAGAAGAGACUCUGGUCCUUGUUGACAGCGUAGACUCUUCUAUAGGAGUUUUUGUUUAAACAAGACUUACAAACACUCAUUUUGUGAUACUCAUUCUUCAGCACGCACACAAACACACACACACACACACACACACACACACACACACGAAAUGUUGGAGAGAACAACAGAGAAUUGUGCUGGGAUAAGACACCCCAACAAGUCAAGUGGGUUUCUUGGAAUGGGGAGAUAGCUCAGAGAGUAAGACCAUUUGAUGCUCAAGCACGAGGACCUGCAUUCAAGUCUUCAAAAUGCAUGCAAAGAAGCUAGGCAUGGCUGCCCAUGCCUGUAAUCCCAGUACUAAAGGGCGGAGAUUGGAGGAUUGUAAUGACUUGCUAGCCAGCCAGCCUGCCCCACCCCCGACCCCGACCCAGAACAACAAGCUUCUGAUUCAGUCAUUUAGAUAAUUCAUGGGUUAUCUUCAAAAUUCAGUGAAGCCAAUAAUCUCAAAGGAAACAUGUCACAUAAAAAACAUUGUAAGACAGAGUGAAAAUAAAAAAAAAAUCAUCUUGCAAUAUUUUAGUGAAUGUCAUGAAAUGUAUGAACUGUUCCUGUUACCUGGAACUUAGUUGUUCAGAUGAACACUGCCAAAAUGAUUAUAUGAGCCCCACUUCCUGAUCGGCACCGUCGAAGCUCCUCCUGCUAGCCCAGAAAGAGACUGUUGUAUUUGAUCAUAAAAUAAUUAAGAAGAUACAUAUGAGGAAGGACUGGUAAGGAAAGUUAAGUGUGUUUACGAAGUGAGCAGAUUAACUGCUUCGUAGUAUGAGAAAUAAAUGUCUUCUAGAGCUGUGCGUCUCUCAUUUUAAUGUGUAUAGGCAUUACUGCGAACUUUACUUAGGAAUAGGACUUUGGGUGAUCCUGAAACUCUAUUCCCAGUUAACAAGACAUAGGUAUAGUUAACCACUUCCAAACACCAGCCUUCAGUGUAAGUAGAGAUACUCACUGUCUACUUAAAGUUCAUCUCUGUUUCUUAUAGCAACAUCACAGUAGGAUCUGGACUUUUAGGAAACUGUAACAUCAAAUUUCUGAAAAUCAAUCACUGGAACGUAUUUUUGGAUUUAUCAUCCUGGAAAGAUUUUUAUUAUAAAAUAUGUAAUAGCUAUAAAAGAUUCUGUCACAUUUUCUGCCAUACCACACCUUCCAAUAUAACCUCACAUAAACCUAACGAUAAAGAGCAAAGCCACUUGAGAACUGAGGAUGGAGCUACCGCAGUGGGAGGGCAGUUACCCAGGAUGCAUCAGUUUCUAUGUUCUAUCCCAGAAUUGAACAAAACAAAACAAAGCCAACAAAACUGCCUUUAAAGAAAACUGUCCUGUGGAAAGUUAUAAUGAGGAAGUCCUUAGUUGCUUUGGUCACUUUGGGGCAUAAACAUUGAAAAAUAGACCACCACCACUUCUCCAUUCCCCCUUACAUGAGGAAGUGGAGAUGAGAAUAGACUGAUCGGCUUCCUGGGGGGUUGUAUAGGAAAUGUUGAAGAUUCAGAUCCUGCUUGUCAAACCCCCAAAUUAGCCUCCUUGAAUUCAUAGUUAAUAUUCCUAAAUUGAAUUAUUUUUAAUAUUUUUUACAUAGUACAUCUUAUAUGAUUCCUUUCUGUUGAAUAACAAAUUUUUUGCAGAUUAUAUACAAUUGUGAAGGAAAAUGUUCUAAAUGGCUUUAUACAUACAUCAGUAAUUUCAAGUAUUUCAGAUUUCUUAUAUAGAUUACAUAAAUCAUUUUAAUAACUGGGUACCAUUUAGUAGUUCCUUGAAUGGUCAUUAAAAAAAUAUGUGUGUGAAGAGUUUCUUCACUCAUGAAAAGACACCUAAUUUGUCUCCAACUUUGGGAAGUUGCAAAAUAAGACCACUGGAAGCAUCCAGGUGCAGAAUUUUUAUGAGGAUGUAAGUAUUCAAUUACUUUGGGUCAGUUCCAAGAAAAAAAAUUGUAUUGUAAAAAUACAUUUUGUCAAAAACUUCCAGGCUCACUCUGUUGUGCCUAUACCAUUUUACCUUCCCAUCCAUCAGCAAUGAAUAGGAAAUCCUAGUGUUCUAUCUCGCCAGCAUUCACAACUGUUAGUGUCUGUGUUUUGAGCUAUUUUAAUUAUUUCUGGCUAGAGAACUAAAAUUUCAAUAAAAAAUAAUUUGUGGCUUCCUGUGUACAUGUGACAAGGAGAAAGAAAUUGAGAAUAUGUCAUCCAUCAGCAGUGUGUACAAAGAGGACCAGAGAUAAAACUGGGAGGUGGAGGGGUACCUCACUUUAAUUUGCAGUUUCAUAAUAAAAUGAGGUUGAACAUAUUUGCUUAUACCUCUUUGCCAUGUGUGUGUGUGUGUGUGUGUAAUCUUCUUUAGAAAGCUAGUUUCACCUAUAUGAAAAAGUUGUUUCAUUUCUUUUCUGUUGAGUUUUAAGAUUUGUUAGUUAUGUUUAGUUAACAGUUCUUUGGCAGAGAUAGAUAGAAAGAUAGAUGAGAGAGAGAGAGAGAGAGAGAG